rnacentral:rRNA from 1 species
CCUACGGGUGGCUGCAGUGGGGAAUAUUGGGCAAUGGGCGCAAGCCUGACCCAGCAACGCCGCGUGAAGGAAGAAGGCUUUCGGGCUGUAAACUUCUUUUGACAGGGAAGAGUAGAAGACGGUACCUGUCGAAUAAGCCACGCCUAACUACGAGCCAGCAGCCGCGGUAAUACGUAGGUGGCAAGCGUUGUCCGGAUUUACUGGGUGUAAAGGGCGUGUAGCCGGUUUGACAAGUCAGAUGUGAAAUCCUGCGGCCUAACCGCCUAACUGCAUUUGAAACUGUUGAUCUUGAGUGCUGGAGAGGCAGACGGAAUGCCUAGUGUAGCGGUGAAAUGCGUAGAUAUUAGGAAGAACACCAGUGGCGAAGGCGGUCUGCUGGACAGCAACUGACGGUGAGGCACGAAAGCGUGGGUAGCAAACAGGAUUAGAUACCCUUGUAGUC